GACGAACGCUGGCGGCGUGCCUAACACAUGCAAGUCAAGGGACCAGCAAUGGUCAUUGGCGCACGGGUGCGGAACACGUAGGUAAAUCUGCCCAUGAGGGGAGAACAACUCACCGAAAGGUGAGCUAAAUCUCCGUAAUGUUAGACUGUGGCAUCACAGUCUAACCAAAUUUUCUUAUGGAUGAGCCUGCGUCUGAUUAGCUAGUUGGUGAGGUAACGGCUCACCAAGGCUACGAUCAGUAGCUGGUCUGAGAGGAUGAUCAGCCACAUUGGGACUGAGACACGGCCCAGACUCCUACGGGAGGCAGCAGUGAGGAAUAUUGCUCAAUGGACGAAAAGUCUGAAGCAGCAACGCCGCGUGAGGGGUGAAGGUGCUCUGCAUUGUAAACCUCUGUAGUCGGGACAAAAAGUGGGUUACUACCCACCUGAUGGUACCCGAAAAGUAAGGAAUCGGCUAACUACGUGCCAGCAGCCGCCGU
rnacentral:rRNA from 1 species